rnacentral:rRNA from 1 species
CGGACGGGUGAGUAAUGUCUGGGAAACUGCCUGAUGGAGGGGGAUAACUACUGGAAACGGUAGCUAAUACCGCAUAACGUCGCAAGACCAAAGAGGGGGACCUUCGGGCCUCUUGCCAUCGGAUGUGCCCAGAUGGGAUUAGCUAGUAGGUGGGGUAACGGCUCACCUAGGCGACGAUCCCUAGCUGGUCUGAGAGGAUGACCAGCCACACUGGAACUGAGACACGAUCCAG